UGGGGAAUUUUGGACAAUGGGCGAAAGCCUGAUCCAGCAAUGCCGCGUGUGUGAAGAAGGCCUUCGGGUUGUAAAGCACUUUUGUCCGGAAAGAAAUCCUUGGCUCUAAUACAGUCGGGGGAUGACGGUACCGGAAGAAUAAGCACCGGCUACCUACGUGCCAGCAGCCGCGGUAAUACGUAGGGUGCAAGCGUUAAUCGGAAUUACUGGGCGUAAAGCGUGCGCAGGCGGUUUGCUAAGACCGAUGUGAAAUCCCCGGGCUCAACCUGGGAACUGCAUUGGUGACUGGCAGGCUAGAGUAUGGCAGAGGGGGGUAGAAUUCCACGUGUAGCAGUGAAAUGCGUAGAGAUGUGGAGGAAUACCGAUGGCGAAGGCAGCCCCCUGGGGCCAAUACUGACGCUCAUGCACGAAAGCGUGGGGGAGCAAACAGGAUUAGAUACCCCUGGUAGUCCACGCCCUAAACGAUGUCAACUAGUUGUUGGGGAUUCAUUUCCUUAGUAACGUAGCUAACGCGUGAAGUUGACCGCCUGGGGAGUACGGUCGCAAGAUUAAAACUUAAAUGAAUUGACGGGGUCAUAGCUGUUUCCU
rnacentral:rRNA from 1 species